GGCUUUUCUCCCUCGGGCCCAGUAACUAUCUUCACUCCGGCUGUCUGGGCAGGCACGUCCACCUACAAGAGAACGACAGGUUUUCCUUUAAAUUCUUUCAAAUUCUCUUCAAGCUUGUACAUCUGGAAUUUUUCUAAACAGUCUCAUUCAGGAGAAACCCCAAACCAGAAAUGUCUUCUUCAAUCAUCAAAACAUAGUAAGCA